UACGUAGGGUGCGAGCGUUUGUCCGGAAUUAUUGGGCGUAAAGAGCUCGUAGGCGGUUUGUCACGUCUGCUGUGAAAACUGGAGGCUCAACCUCCAGCCUGCAGUGGGUACGGGCAGACUAGAGUGCGGUAGGGGAGAUUGGAAUUCCUGGUGUAGCGGUGGAAUGCGCAGAUAUCAGGAGGAACACCGAUGGCGAAGGCAGAUCUCUGGGCCGUAACUGACGCUGAGGAGCGAAAGCAUGGGGGAGCGAACAGG
rnacentral:rRNA from 1 species